AUGAAGUUAAACAGAACAAAUAAAACAAAUGAAAAAGUACAAGUAAAAACGAUAUAUUUUAUUAGGCAUAGUGAGUCAGUAUGGAAUAGUGUUAUUAAUAAAAAACUAACAGCCAAAACUUUUAUUAAUUUGAUUUUAGUAUUAUUAUAUGAACUCAUUUUUUUGUUUAGUAGAAAAACUGUAUUGAUAGAUUCACCUUUAAGUAAUACAGGCUUAAUACAAUCAAUCGAGUUAUCCAAUUUUUUGAAAGGGGAUGUAGAUGAUAGUACAAAUAAUGCUACUACUGCUGCUGAUAACUAUAAUAAUAAUAAUACUAAAUUAUGUAACAUAUCAAUGUGUCAAGAGCAAAAUGAAAAUAAUAGGAACACAAAAAAAAAACGCCAUGAGCAAGUAGCUGCCGAAUUGAUUAAUGUAAAUGAAUUAAAAUAUAACACAAUGAAAACUGAAAAUAGUACAAAUCGUUAUGGAGGAAGUACUAGUGAUAUAUGCAAUGGUAAUGUUUGUAAUAAUAAAAGAAAUACCGAAACGUUGAUAAAUUAUAGUCAAUUGGGUGUUACAAACAGAAGGACAGACAGCGAAUUACAAGAAAAAUCUAUUGACGAGCUUACAAAAAAAGAAAGUUACAAUAAACAAAUAGAUGGUAUAAGAGACAGUUACAAACAAAAUAUAAACGGUGAUAAUAUUAUCAAUAAUUAUUGUAAAAAUGAAGAUAAUAAUGGUAUUUAUAAUAAUAUAAAAAAUAUGAAUAUACAAGAACAUAUAGAUAUAUUAAACAAUAAAAAAUAUAAAAGUGUAUUAUUAUGUUCUAAUUUAAGAAGAACUAUUUCAAGUUGUUGUAUUUCAUUUUAUAAUCGCAUAAAUAAACAUAAUGAAACUGUACAUGCUUUAGAUUCAUUAGAAGAAAUAAGUAGAAACCCAGAUUGUCUUUCUUUAUUCCCUUAUUAUAAUAAUACUUAUAUAACUACUGAUAUUGAAAAUUUUAUACAUAAAGAUAUAGGUAAAUUAAUUAGUAAUAACAUUAAAAUAGAAAAUAAUUAUAUAACUAAUAAAUUUAUUAAUACACUGUCAUAUAUUUUUAAUGACGAAAAUGAAAUUUUUAUUAUUUUUGGUCAUAGUUUAUGGUUUCGACUUUUUUUUAAUUAUUUUUUAAAACAACGACAUAUAGCAAAAACAAAUAAAAUCAAAAACUCAGGAAUAGUAGUGUUUAACAUGUAUAAAUAUAACGAUAACGAUGAGGAAAGAUAUGAAGUCGAAAAGGAUAGUGUCAGGGUGUUAUAUAAAGGUUUUGAAAAUGAGUACAUGCAUGCAAGUUAACAAGUGUGCUCACAUUGAUAGUGGUAUGUGUGAAUGCAGAGGGGGAGGGAGGGCUUAACUAACGAUGGUGUUAAAACUUAUAGUGUGAACUGUAUAUCAACAACGUAAAAUCUUAAUGUGAGUAAAUAAAAUGGAAAAACCAAAUAAAGCA
rnacentral:lncRNA from 1 species